CAAGGACCUGUCUUGUCUGUUAAUUAAAUGCCGUAACUUAUCUUUGGCUCGGCGUGUGUUGGUGUGGGACGAGGGGGUUCAGAACACGCUCUCUGUGUAUAUUUAACUCUCGUCAUAAUUUGUUUUUGUGUUGAACAAUCCCACACAUCUUUUAACAAGCAGGGUGUACGUGUUUUCGGUAAGAUUUCCGCUCAGCAUGUAAAUCUUCCUCCCUUUCACCGUAAACGUUAUCAUUGCAACAGUGGGGAGAAAGUUACUCUCACGUUCUCAACAACGGAUCCUUAGAUUUAUACUACCCAGUGGCUAGACAGAAAAAACCUAGUUUGGAAAAGGAGAAAAAUCCAGUAAUAUCUUAAAGGAUGAUAAACUUACGACACUGUGUGUUUUUGCACUCAAGUGUAUUUCGUCAGGGGAAGUACUGGAAGUAUCCUUUUAAAAAAAAAACACCCCUUUCCUCAUUAUUUCCAUUCUAUUUUCAUUUCUAAAAAGCCUCGGGAUAUUUUUUUCCCCCCCCCGUGCAGUGAAGAACAAAGAAAGUCUCUGUAUCCCGUUGCAGAAUUUCUCUCUGACCACACCUCUUGUUGGUUCUCCGCUCGUCUGGCGUGUUAUAUAUAGGGAGCAUCCUUCUGCUGCCUCUUCAGAUGAAGUCCAGCCACUUCCAGAAGCCGCACGCUGAAGAAAAAACCCCACGAGAAGGAUCCUUCACCCUCCAAAAAACGAUCCAAGCUGUUCUCAUGCCGUUUUCCCCACCACCUUUGAAAUCCAGGAUGGGGCAGGAAUCCUUCACUCUCCAUUUCCUGAAGGUCCUGAAGGAACUCCUGGCUUUCGUGCUGUUCAGUUACACCGUCUUGUUCGGAGCGCUGUUGCUGGCUGGCUGGACGACUUAUUUCCUCGUGCUAAAGUGACACCGCGUUCUGUCUGGAGCUCUGGAGACCUCGGCUGAACAAAUUAGCCUUUUCCUCUUGCAGUAUUUUGCCAGACUUUUAAUUUCGUUUCCUGGCCAUCCCGGCGCUUUUUAAAGGAACCACUUGGUUUCCGGCCUUAAGGUUUCAUUUUUAAAAUCUUAUUUCUCGAGUAUCAGAAUCUCGGGGAGUUACGAAACCGCUUCCUCUCUCUCCAGUCCAAUUUUUUUCUUUUUUAUAUAAUCUCGUGGGAAUAUCCAUAUUAAAAAGCUGGCAAGUUGCAACAUGCCUUUUAUUUCCUGAUAUUGUUUAAACGCUUCGAUGCCGACUUUUUCUCCUCGCUUCGUUUGAAGUCUGUAAUUAACUCCCGAUCUUCACUUUUGAAUUGUUUUUUACAUGAGGUUUUUAUAUAUUUCCGAUGUCAGCUUCCUCUUCCCCCAAAAAAAUAGCUCAAUAAAAUUAUUUGCAGGUC